rnacentral:rRNA from 1 species
AGGACGAACGCUGGCGGCGUGCUUAACACAUGCAAGUCGAGCGGUAAGGCCCUUUCGGGGGUACACGAGCGGCGAACGGGUGAGUAACACGUGAGCAAUCUGCCCUUCACUUCGGGAUAAGCCUCGGAAACGGGGUCUAAUACCGGAUAUGACCGCGCCAUGCAUGUGGUGUGGUGGAAAGUUCUGGCGGUGGAGGAUGAGCUCGCGGCCUAUCAGCGUUGUUGGUGGGGUAAUGGCCUACCAAGGCUUCGACGGGUAGCCGGCCUGAGGAGGGUGACCGGCCACACGUGGGACUGAGACACGGCCCAGACUCCACGGGAGGCAGCAGUGGGGAAUAGUGGACAAGUGGGCGAAAGCCUGAUCCAGACGAACGCGCGUGAGGAUGACGGCCUUCGGGUACGUAACUCUUCACGCGCCGACGAACGCGAGAGUGGACGGUGGACGCGAGAAGGA